rnacentral:rRNA from 1 species
CACGGGGGGAGCAAGCGUUGUUCGGAUUCAUUGGGCGUAAAGGGCUCGUAGGUGGCUUUGUAAGUCGGAGGUGAAAUCCCACGGCUCAACCGUGGACACGCCUUCGAAACUGUGAGCUUGAGGCUGGGAGAGGAGAUCGGAAUUCCUGGUGUAGCGGUGAAAUGCGUAGAUAUCAGGCGGAGCACCCGUGGCGAAGGCGGCCAGCUGGGCCGUCCCUGACGCUGAGGCGCGAAGGCGUGGGGAGCGAAGCGGGAUUGAGAUACC